CUACACUAUUUACAAAGAAGAGAGCGUGGGAAAGUGGAAAAACAGUAUGACACACAAGCAUACGUACACAUACAACUUCACAUGCACUCAAACAGUUGUACAAAAGAAGGUAGACAUCAUCUCUCAAACUCUAACGACACAACCUCUAUUUAUACCAUAACUGAGACACACACUCCAAUUCACACCACCAAUCCAUACGUCUCACACGUGAACAUCCCCUCCCAAUCCUUCUCUAGGCAUGCUACCCAAUCACAUUAGACAAAGAGAA
rnacentral:lncRNA from 1 species